GGACCUGUGUCGCAGUGGUUAGCGUAUUGCUCUUAUACUUGCUUCACCUUGUGUAGCUCGUGUGAUAGGAAAUGCAAAGGUCGUGAGUUCGAUCCUCACCUGGUCCA
rnacentral:tRNA from 1 species